UGCAGUCGAGCGAACAGAUGAGAAGCUUGCUUCUCUGAUGUUAGCGGCGGACGGGUGAGUAACACGUGGGUAACCUACCUAUAAGACUGGGAUAACUCCGGGAAACCGGGGCUAAUACCUGAUAAUAUUUUGAACCGCAUGGUUCGAUAGUGAAAGGCGGCUUCGGCUGUCACUUAUAGAUGGACCCGCGCCGUAUUAGCUAGUUGGUAAGGUAAUGGCUUACCAAGGCGACGAUACGUAGCCGACCUGAGAGGGUGAUCGGCCACACUGGAACUGAGACACGGUCCAGACUCCUACGGGAGGCAGCAGUAGGGAAUCUUCCGCAAUGGGCGAAAGCCUGACGGAGCAACGCCGCGUGAGUGAUGAAGGUUUUCGGAUCGUAAAACUCUGUUGUUAGGGAAGAACAAAUUUGUUAGUAACUGAACAAGUCUUGACGGUACCUAACCAGAAAGCCACGGCUAACUACGUGCCAGCAGCCGCGGUAAUACGUAGGUGGCAAGCGUUAUCCGGAAUUAUUGGGCGUAAAGCGCGCGUAGGCGGUUUCUUAAGUCUGAUGUGAAAGCCCACGGCUCAACCGUGGAGGGUCAUUGGAAACUGGGGAACUUGAGUGCAGAAGAGGAGAGUGGAAUUCCAUGUGUAGCGGUGAAAUGCGCAGAGAUAUGGAGGAACACCAGUGGCGAAGGCGGCUCUCUGGUCUGUAACUGACGCUGAUGUGCG
rnacentral:rRNA from 4 species